AGGGUACCACAAAUUUUAGUUACUGGGUACUGAUGGGGAAUGUACUGUGUAUGUUUAUCUUAUUGAUUGUUAAAUAAAAUACUGUUUGGCCAAUGAAAUGGCAAGUUAGGCAGGACUAGGAGUCAAAGAGGAUUCUGGGAAAUGUAGUAGAGAAGUGAUGAUCCAGACAGGAAGUGACAUAGCAAGGAGACUCAUAUUUAAGUGAAGGAGAAACAGGAAGGGUCCCUUUUUCCCCUCUGCUCCUGUUCCAGCGGCACAAUGUGAUCCACCAGCAAGGAGGGACACCAAUAAGGCAUCCGAGAAGAACUCGAAGUGAGAUGCCCCCAAAGAUGCUGAGAGUCCAGCAUCCCUGAAAAUGAUGGCAUGGAGCAGAGUUAUUCUUGGAGUAUAAAGCAGAAGAGGGGGAGAGCGAGAAAUAACAAAGAACACCCCGAAGAACACACAUCUCCACUGCAGAGUGAGCAGAAGGAGGAAGUAGCUGUGCCCCAAAGGAGUUUAUUUUCUCCAAAAUAGAUGCAGAAGGUCUCAACGAUGAGAAUGCACUGAGAUGAGGAAAAAGCAGGAGAGAGUGAAACAGGGUUUGUCUAAAAAGAGAAAUCAGGCACUAGGGAAAUGUCCAGAGAUGACACCAACUAACAAUCUAAGCAACAGUGGAGAGGCUACCUUAAAUGCCCUCCCCCAAUAAUGAGAUUGAUGUCUAACUUACAUGCCAUCCUAGAGCCUUCAUCCAGCAACUGAUGGAAGUAGAAGCAGACAGCUAAACCCUGAACUGAACUGGAAUCCAGUUGCAGAGAGGGAGGAGUGAUGAACAAAGAGGUCAAAACCAGGCUGGUGAAACCCACAGAAACAACUGUUCAGCUUCCCUCACUUACCUCUUCCCUAAAAGGUUCCCCAACGUGUCAUCUGGUUUAUACAUCAGCUCCGGCAAGAGUAUCAGCAUCUCGGCAACUAAAUCAGAUACAAUGGGAGUGAUGCUCCAGGGUCCCAGUCUCGAGUCCAGCUUCUCCAAAAGACUUGUCAAUUGAAGAGAGUGUCUUCACUCUUUGUAUCCAACAGAGACACAUGGGAGAGCAACACUGUGCUCGCUGACAUUUCUGGACAAACUCAUCCAGUGGACCUGCGUUUGAUUCCCAGCACCUAUAUGGCAGUUCACUGCUAUCUGUAACUCCAGAGGGGACCCAAUUCCAUCUUCUGGCCUCUCUGUGCAAUAAAUGCUUGUGGUGAAAAGGCA
rnacentral:lncRNA from 1 species